rnacentral:rRNA from 1 species
GACGUAGGGGGCAAGCGUUAUUCGGAAUUAUUGGGCGUAAAGCGCUCGUAGGCGGGACUGGAAGUCCGUGUUGAAAGACCUCGGCUACAACUGAGGGACCGGCUCGGAUACUCUAGUUCUUUGAGGCAAUCAGAGGGUGAUGGAAUUCCCGGUGUAGCGGUGAAAUGCGCAGAUAUCGGGAGGAACACCAGUGGCGAAGGCGAUCACCUGGGGUUGUUCUGACGCUGAGGAGCGAAAGCUAGGGGAGCAAACGGG